CGACACNUGCAAGGCNAGCGGAUGCANGAAAGUANCUUGCUACUUUUGCCGUCGAGCGGCGGACGGGUGAGUAAUGCCUGGGAAAUUGCCCAGUCGAGGGGGAUAACAGUUGGAAACGACUGCUAAUACCGCAUACGCCCUACGGGGGAAAGCAGGGGACCUUCGGGCCUUGCGCGAUUGGAUAUGCCCAGGUGGGAUUAGCUAGUUGGUGAGGUAAUGGCUCACCAAGGCGACGAUCCCUAGCUGGUCUGAGAGGAUGAUCAGCCACACUGGAACUGAGACACGGUCCAGACUCCUACGGGAGGCAGCAGUGGGGAAUAUUGCACAAUGGGGGAAACCCUGAUGCAGCCAUGCCGCGUGUGUGAAGAAGGCCUUCGGGUUGUAAAGCACUUUCAGCGAGGAGGAAAGGUCAGUAGCUAAUAUCUGCUGGCUGUGACGUUACUCGCAGAAGAAGCACCGGCUAACUCCGUGCCAGCAGCCA
rnacentral:rRNA from 1 species